UGGGAGGGGCUCGCGGCCUAUCAGCUUGUUGGCGGGGUAAUGGCCCACCAAGGCGACGACGGGUAGCUGGUCUGAGAGGAUGGCCAGCCACAUUGGGACUGAGAGACGGCCCAGACUCCUACGGGAGGCAGCAGUGGGGAAUCUUGCGCAAUGGGCGAAAGCCUGACGCAGCGACGCCGCGUGCGGGAGGACGGCCUUCGGGUCGUAAACCGCUGUUGCCCGGGACGAAUAGCCCUUUCGAGGGACUUGACGGUACCGGGUGAGGAAGCACCGGCUAACUCCGUGCCAGCAGCCGCGGUAAUACGGAGGGUGCGAGCGUUGUCCGGAAUCACUGGGCGUAAAGGGCGCGUAGGCGGCGCGGGAAGGCGGCGGUGAAAGUCCGGGGCUCAACCCCGGAUCGGCCGUGGCGACUCCCGCGCUGGAGCACAGUAGAGGCGGGUGGAAUUCCGGGUGUAGCGGUGGAAUGCGUAGAGAUCCGGAAGAACACCGGUGGCGAAGGCGGCCCGCUGGGCUGUGGCUGACGCUGAGGCGCGACAGCGUGGGGAGCAAACAGGAUUAGAUACCCUGGUAGUCCACGCCGUAAACGAUGGGCACUAGGUGCUUGGGGGAGCGACCCCCUGAGUGCCGGCGCUAACGCAUUAAGUGCCCCGCCUGGGGAGUACGGCCGCAAGGCUGAAACUCAAAGGAAUUGACGGGGGCCCGCACAAGCGGUGGAGCAUGUGGUUUAAUUCGACGCAACGCGAAGAACCUUACCUGGGCUUGACAUCUUGGGGAAAGCCGUGAGAAACCACGGCCCCUCUUCGGAGUCCCAAGACAGGUGCUGCAUGGCUGUCGUCAGCUCGUGUCGUGAGAUGUUGGGUUAAGUCCCGCAACGAGCGCAACCCCCGCUCCCAGUUGCCAGCGCGUCAAGGCGGGGACUCUGGGAGGACUGCC
rnacentral:rRNA from 1 species